CUUUUCCUUAUGGUUGGGGGCUGGGAGGUAAAAGAGGGGACGAAGCGGAUCGGGAUUUGGAAGAUCAACGACGAGCUCUAUUGAUUCUCCAAUCCAGUGGGCAAAGACAUACCCGUCUAUUGGGCCUAAGUUGUUCCAAAAUAAAUGAGCCCAUAUUGAUUGGAUAUGGCCAUGGCGGCAGCAAAGCAGAGUAACGACCUCCGCCUCCCUCAAGCACAGAGACGGUGAAAGACGAAACAAUGCGUUGGCCAUUUCCUCUUACAUCUUCAUCAACUCGCUUCCUUCGAUUUCGCUUCAUACCCUUCCAAUCCCAUUCCUCUCAUCACAACAAUUUCUCCACACAUAACCCAAUUCCCGUUCCAAUUACAUACCCCGUUCUUGAUCAAACAACCGUUCGCGAAACCCUAAUCUCCUUCAACAACGACUGGAAACGCGCACUCGAGUUCUUCAACUGGGUACAAACUGAAUUCAACUUCCCACACUCCACCGAAACCUAUAACCUAAUCCUCGACAUCUUAGGUAAAUUCUUUGAGUUCCAACAAUGUUGGAAUCUAAUCCACCGUAUGCAAAACAACCCUAAUUCUUUCCCCAACCACACCACCUUCCGUGUCAUGUUCAAACGUUACAUCUCUGCUCACUGCAUCGACGACGCCGUUCAAACAUUCCAACGUUUAAAUGAGUUUAAUUUGAAAGACGAAACCUCUUUUUCGAAUCUCAUUGACGCUCUGUGUGAUCAUAAACACGUUCUCGAAGCUCAAGAUUUGGUUUUCGGAACACAAAAGACUCUAACGUUAUCUUGGAAAAUUGAUGGGAUUGUUGUUAGUAGUAAUAAUACUAAGAUUUAUAAUAUUGUUCUUCGUGGUUGGUAUAAGUUGGGUUGGUGGAGUAAGUGUUGGGAGUUUUGGGAUGAAAUGGAUAGAAAAGGUGUUCAAAAGGAUCUACAUUCUUAUUCCAUUUACAUGGAUAUUUUGUCUAAAGGUGGAAAACCAUGGAAAGCUGUGAAAUUGUUUCAGGAGAUGAAGAGAAAAGGUAUUAAAUUAGAUGUUGUUGUUUAUAACAUUGCGAUUAGAGCUAUUGGUGUUUCACAAGGUGUUGAUUUUUCGAUUAGGUUAUUUCGUGAAAUGAAGGAUGCGGGAUUUAAUCCUACUGUUGUUACUUAUAAUACUAUUAUCAGGCUUCUGUGUGAUAGUUAUAGAUAUAAGGAAGCUCUUGCUUUGCUUCGAACUAUGCGUCAUAAUGGUUGUUUUCCGACUGCUGUUUCAUAUCAAUGCUUUUUUUCUUGUCUUGAGAAGCCGAAACUUAUAGUUGACUUGUUUGAUGGUAUGAUUGAAAGUGGUGUUCGUCCCACGAUGGAUACCUAUGUUAUGCUCCUUAAGAAGUUUUCACGGUGGGGAUUUCUUCGAUUGGUGUUUGUUGUUUGGAAUAGAAUGGAACAACUUGGAUGUAGUCCUGAUGCGGCUGCUUACAAUGCUUUGAUAGAUGCUCUUGUGGAAAAAGGGUUGAUUAAUAUGGCUAGGAAGUAUGAUGAAGAGAUGUUGGCUAAAGGACUUUCGCCUAGGCCGAGGAAAGAGUUGGGGACAAAGGUUUUGGGAGGAGAAUUUGUUGAGGAAUAGUUGGUAUACAAGUAUGCACACCGACACUGAGGUUCAUCCAAGUGAUGUCUUGGGUCCUUCUAUUCCUGGUCCUAUUGUACUCCUUGUGGAUUGCCCAACAGAAUCUCACUUGGAAGCAUUAUUGUCUUCAAAAUCACUAGCUACUUAUGGUGAUCAAGUGGAGGAAAACCUGCCAAAGGCUGGUAAGGGUGUUGCGUGUGUAAUUCACUUGUCUCCUGAAUCUGUUGUAAGUUGUUCAAAAUACCAAACAUGGAUGAAGGCAUUUGGUUCUGCACAGCAUAUCAUGGCCGGACAUGAAAAUGAUGUUAGGUGUUGAAGCUCUUGAAAGGCUGAUGGUUGAGUGUGAUAUUUCAAAUUUUGAAGAGUUAUGAUUUGAUUCUCAAGAGAGCGCUCUUAACAAUUGAACAAAAUCAUCAUAGGGUUUGUUUACAUCAAAAGAUUAAACAAAAUAGGAUGAGUUCUCUAUGAUAUGCUUGGCAUUCAAGGAGUCGUAGCUUCGCCCAUUAGCAUAUCUAAAGAUAUGAAUCUUUGAAAUAAAAAACAUGCAAUUAUUGCAGUUAAUAAAUCAAAAUUGUAGAAUAAAAAUCCCAGUAUUCUCAUUCUAAA